CCCUAUGACCGCCUGAGUUUCCUCCGGGUGCUCCGUUUCCACCCACAUCCCAAAGACGUACGGGUCUGUAGGUUAAUUGGCCUCUGUAAAUAAUCCCCAGUGUGUAACGAGUGGAUGAGAAGGCAGGAUAACAUAGUACUCGGUAUGAAC